rnacentral:rRNA from 1 species
GUAUCAUGGCUCAGAUUGAACGCUGGCGGCAGGCCUAACACAUGCAAGUCGAGCGGAUGAAGAGAGCUUGCUCUCUGAUUCAGCGGCGGACGGGUGAGUAAUGCCUAGGAAUCUGCCUGAUAGUGGGGGACAACGUUUCGAAAGGAACGCUAAUACCGCAUACGUCCUACGGGAGAAAGCAGGGGACCUUCGGGCCUUGUCGCUAUCAGAAUGAGCCUAGGUCGGAGUUAGCUAGG